ACGAACGCUGGCGGCAUGCCUCACACAUGCAAGUCGAACGAGACCUUCGGGUCUAGUGGCGCACGGGUGCGUAACGUGUGGGAACCUGCCCUUAGGUUCGGAAUAACUCCCCGAAAGGGGUGCUAAUACCGGAUAAUGUCUUCGGACCAAAGAUUUAUCGCCUUUGGAUGGGCCCGCGUUGGAUUAGCUAGUUGGUAGGGUAAAAGCCUACCAAGGCGACGAUCCAUAGCUGGUCUGAGAGGAUGAUCAGCCACACUGGGACUGAGACACGGCCCAGACUCCUACGGGAGGCAGCAGUGGGGAAUAUUGGACAAUGGGCGAAAGCCUGAUCCAGCAAUGCCGCGUGAGUGAUGAAGGCCUUAGGGUUGUAAAGCUCUUUUACCCGGGAAGAUAAUGACAGUACCGGGAGAAUAAGCUCCGGCUAACUCCGUG
rnacentral:rRNA from 1 species